rnacentral:rRNA from 1 species
UACGUAGGGUGCAAGCGUUAUCCGGAAUUACUGGGCGUAAAGGGAGCGUAGGCGGAUAGUUUAGUCAGAGGUGAAAGCCCAGGGCUCAACCUUGGAAUUGCCCUUGAUACUGGAGAUCUUGAGUCCGGAAGAGGUAAGUGGAACUGCGAGUGUAGAGGUGAAAUUCGUAGAUAUUGGGAAGAACACCGGUGGCGAAGGCGGCGACCUGGUCCGAUACUGACGCUA